rnacentral:rRNA from 1 species
UACGGGAGGCAGCAGUGGGGAAUAUUGCACAAUGGGCGAAAGCCUGAUGCAGCUAUGCCGCGUGUAUGAAGAAGGCCUUAGGGUUGUAAAGUACUUUCAUCGGGGAGGAAAACAAAACUAAUAAUUUUAUUUCUUGACGUUACCCGAAAAAGAAGCACCGGCUAACUCCGUGCCAGCAGCCGCGGUAAUACGGAGGGUGCUAGCGUUAAUCAGAAUUACUGGGCGUAAAGAGCACGUAGGUGGUUUUUUUAAAGUCAGAUGUGAAAUCCCUGGGCUUAACCUAGGAACUGCAUUUUGAAACUGAAAUACUAGAGUAUCGUAGAGGGAGGUAGAAUUCUAGGUGUAGCGGUGAAAUGCGUAGAUAUCUGGAGGAAUACCUGUGGCGAAAGCGGCCUCCUAAACGAAUACUGACACUGAGGUGCGAAAGCGUGGGGAGCAAACAGGGAUUAAAUACC